rnacentral:rRNA from 1 species
GAUGAACGCUGGCGGCGUGCCUAAUACAUGCAAGUCGAGCGAACGGACGAGAAGCUUGCUUCUCUGAUGUUAGCGGCGGACGGGUGAGUAACACGUGGAUAACCUACCUAUAAGACUGGGAUAACUUCGGGAAACCGGAGCUAAUACCGGAUAAUAUUUUGAACCGCAUGGUUCAAAAGUGAAAGACGGUCUUGCUGUCACUUAUAGAUGGAUCCGCGCUGCAUUAGCUAGUUGGUAAGGUAACGGCUUACCACGGCAACGAUGCAUAGCCGGCCUGUGAGGUCGAGCGGCCACACUGGAGCUUAGCCACGGUCCGGGCUGCUACGGUAGGCAGCAGUAGGGAAUCUUCCGCAAUGGGCGAAAGCCUGACGGAGCAACGCCGCGUGAUUGAUGAAGGUCUUCGGAUCGUGAACCUCUGUUGUUAGGGAAGAACAUAUGUGUAAGUAACUGUGCACAUCUUGGCGGUACCUAAUCAGAAAGCCACGGCUAACUACGGG